UACGGGGGGGGCAAGCGUUGUUCGGAAUUACUGGGCGUAAAGGGCUCGUAGGCGGCCAACUAAGUCCGACGUGAAAUCCCCAGGCUUAACCUGGGAACUGCGUCGGAUACUGGAUGGCUUGAAUUCGGGAGAGGGAUGCAGAAUUCCAGGUGUAGCGGUGAAAUGCGUAGAUAUCUGGAGGAAUACCGGUGGCGAAGGCGGCAUCCUGGACCGGUAUUGACGCUGAGGCGCGAAAGCUAGGGGAGCAAACGGG
rnacentral:rRNA from 1 species